rnacentral:rRNA from 1 species
CCCUUAGAUGUUCUGGGCCGCACGCGUGCUACACUGAGUGGAUCAGCGGGUCAGGUUGCGCGAAAGCGUUUCCUAAUCUUUAAAUCCGCUCGUGAUGGGGAUUGACGGUUGCAAUUUUCUGUCAUGAACGAGGAAUACCUUGUAAGCGCGGGUCAUCAUCCCGCGCUGAAUACGUCCCUGCCCUUUGUACACACCGCCCGUCGCUCCUACCGAUUGAGCAAUCCGGUGAAUAUUUCGGACAGUCGUAAAUGUUGGUUCGCCAAUGUUUUUGUACUGAAAGUCAAGUGAACCUUAUUGCUUAGAGGAAGGAGAAGUCGUAACA